rnacentral:rRNA from 1 species
CCUACGGGAGGCAGCAGUGGGGAAUAUUGGGCAAUGGGCGCAAGUCUGACCCAGCAACGCCGCGUGAGUGAAGAAGUCUUUCGGGAUGUAAACCUCUUUCAGCGGGGAAGAAGAUGACGCUAUCUCACUUAGAUACCCCGUCGCUAACCACGUGCCAACAGCCGGGGUAAUGCGUAGGGGGCACGUGUUCUCCGGAUUCACUGGGUGUAAUGGGCGUGCAGGCGGUCCGACAAGUCAGAUGUGAAAUCGCGGGGCUUAACCCGGGAACUGCAUUGGAAACUAUAGGUCUUGAGUGCAGGAGAGGUAAGCGGAAUUCCUAGUGUAGCGGUGAAAUGCGUAGAGAUAAGGAAGAACACCAGUGGCGAAGGCGGAUUACUGGACGGUAACUGACGGUGAGGCGCGAAAGCGUGGGGAGCAAACAGGAUUAGAUACCCUUGUAGUC